rnacentral:miRNA from 1 species
AUCAUCUGAGGAUCUUGUUAAAAUACAGAUUCUGAUUCAGUAAGUCUUAGAUGGGGCCUGAGAUUCUGCAUUUCUAACCAGCUCCCAGGUGAUGCCA